GACGAACGCUGGCGGCGUGCCUAAUACAUGCAAGUCGAGCGGACAGAAGGGAGCUUGCUCCCGGAUGUUAGCGGCGGACGGGUGAGUAACACGUGGGUAACCUGCCUGUAAGACUGGGAUAACUCCGGGAAACCGGAGCUAAUACCGGAUAGUUCCUUGAGCCGCAUGGUUCAAGGAUGAAAGACGGUUUCGGCUGUCACUUACAGAUGUACCCGCGGCGCAUUAGCUAGUUGGUGAGGUAACGGCUCACCAAGGCGACGAUGCGUAGCCGACCUGAGAGGGUGAUCGGCCACACUGGGACUGAGACACGGCCCAGACUCCUACGGGAGGCAGCAGUAGGGAAUCUUCCGCAAUGGACGAAAGUCUGACGGAGCAACGCCGCGUGAGUGAUGAAGGUUUUCGGAUCGUAAAGCUCUGUUGUUAGGGAAGAACAAGUGCAAGAGUAACUGCUUGCACCUUGACGGUACCUAACCAGAAAGCCACGGCUAACUACGUGCCAGCCGCCGCCGUAA
rnacentral:rRNA from 1 species